CUUUUUUUCCCUUUUCUUCUUCCUCCCGUGCGCCGCGACCCUCCUUCCCCUUCUCUCCGUUCGUGCAGCAACCGCCCUAACCGUCCUCUUCUCCUUCCGUUCGUGCCCAGCCGCAGCCCAGCCGCAAUCACCACCUCUAUCUUCUUCUUCCCGUCCCGCCGCAGCCAACUGCAGCCAGCCGCCGAUCCUUUCCUUCCAUUUUCUUCUUCCGUCCGCAGCCCUGCCGCGAAGCAAGACCACGCCGCUGCCAGUCCAGAUCUGCGGCGCCGUUGCUCUUCCGCCGCUGCCCAACCGUCUCAGCCGGUUCUGUCUCUGUCGAAGCCACGGUUCUGCAACCGUCUCCGCCGUCUCUAUCUCCGUCCGCGAGGCAAGUCGCACGCCUCAGUCACGAACAGCCUCGCCGACGCAGGUCACGCCGUAUCGCACGAAUUCGGCUACGUUGCCGGGCUACUCCCAUCCGCGCGUAACUGCUGUUGAACGUCCGAACCGUUCUGCCUUCGUCGAUACCCACCGUCGCGGACCAGUUCGCGUGCAAAAGUGUUUUGCACGAUGUCUUUUGUGUAGAUCCUGCGGCAACUUCUAUUUAACGUCGAUUGUCAAAGUCUUGUUACAAGAUAUUGGCGACAUCGGUGAUUUGGAGUUAGUGUCCUUGAGUUACGCCUUAAGCUUUGUUGGAGUUCGAUUCUUUACUCUUGGGGUUUGUUUGUUGAAGUUAGUUCGACUAAGGAAUUUUACAUAAAGAUCCAGGCAAAGGUAAUAAAGGCGGCAAACAGGCGAGGGGCAGGAAGGAAACGUGAUGCCAUAGGAAACGUGUUUUUGCUUCUGCUUAUGGGUUCUUGAGAGGUUUAAAAUGGAUUGAAAUUUAGUUUACAAACGUUUGUUGUAAAUAGUAUUAUUUUAUGAAUGUUUAAAAAUCAGGCCUGACUUGAA